GAUGAACGCUGGCGGCGUGCCUAAUACAUGCAAGUCGAGCGCGACUUCUUAUACCGAACCUUCGGGUUCACUUUAAGAGUCGAGCGGCGGACGGGUGAGUAACACGUGGGCAACCUGCCCUUAAGACUGGGAUAACUACGGGAAACCGUAGCUAAUACCGGAUAACACUUUUAAACAUAAGUUUAGGAGUUAAAAGGUGGAUGUAUCUAUCACUUAAGGAUGGGCCUGCGGCGCAUUAGCUAGUUGGUGAGGUAACGGCUUACCAAGGCGACGAUGCGUAGCCGACCUGAGAGGGUGAUCGGCCACACUGGAACUGAGACACGGUCCAGACUCCUACGGGAGGCAGCAGUAGGGAAUCUUCCGCAAUGGGCGAAAGCCUGACGGAGCAACGCCGCGUGUGCGAAGAAGGUCUUCGGAUCGUAAAGCACUGUUGUUAAGGAAGAAUGACAGUAAGAGUCACUGCUUACUGUGUGACGGUACUUAACCAGAAAGCCACGGCUAACUACGUGCCAGCAGCCGCGGUAAUACGUAGGUGGCAAGCGUUAUCCGGAAUUAUUGGGCGUAAAGCGCGCGUAGGCGGCGAAAUAAGUCUGAUGUGAAAGCCCCCGGCUCAACCGGGGAAGGUCAUUGGAAACUGUAUCGCUUGAGUGCAGAAGAGGAGAGUGGAAUUCCAUGUGUAGCGGUGAAAUGCGCAGAGAUAUGGAGGAACACCAGUGGCGAAGGCGGCUCUCUGGUCUGUAACUGACGCUGAUGUGCGAAAGCGUGGGGAUCAAACAGG
rnacentral:rRNA from 1 species